rnacentral:rRNA from 1 species
GCUAGCUUGCUAGAAAGUUGAGACAGGUGCUGCACGGCUGUCGUCAGCUCGUGUCGUGAGAUGUUGGGUUAAGUCCCGCAACGAGCGCAACCCACGUAUUUAGUUGCUAACAGUUUGGCUGAGCACUCUAAAUAGACUGCCUUCGUAAGGAGGAGGAAGGUGUGGACGACGUCAAGUCAUCAUGGCCCUUAUGCCCAGGGCGACACACGUGCUACAAUGGCAUAUACAAUGAGAUGCAAUAUCGCGAGAUGGAGCAAAUCUAUAAAAUAUGUCUCAGUUCGGAUUGCUCUCUGCAACUCGAGAGCAUGAAGCCGGAAUCGCUAGUAAUCGUAGAUCAGCCAUGCUACGGUGAAUACGUUCCCGGGUCUUGUACUCACCGCCCGUCACACCAUGGGAGUUGA